AGGCGGCCCUCUCCGGAUAUCAGCGUUGCUGCUGGAGGCAGGGCUGGUCCUCUACCUGCUGUCCACUGCCACCUUGGCCUGCUCUUGCGCUGCGAACUCUGUGCCGCCGCUCCCUUCACCAUAUUUUGGGACGGCCGGCGCUAAGAAUUUAUGCUAUGACCUUCGAUUCAGCCAGGAGGUGACACCAAACUUGAUCAGAAUCCAUGCCACAGGUGAAGAGGUAUACUGAGCCCUGCCUGGCCAAUGAGGUUACUAGAGAAUUGGAAGAGGCUCAAGUCAGCAUCCUGCACAUGGUUAUCAAACCAUUGUGAAGUCUUAGUAAGUGGUCAGUGGCUCUGGUGGGCUUGCCCAGUUAGUGGGAAGGGCCAGGAGAGGUAGUCUUACUAGGCCUAGGCAGUUACUUCAUAUUUUCCCAUUAUGACAUGAAAAAAGGUCUUAAAAUAUUCAGACUAUACUAGAGAAUACUGAGCCUAACCUCUCCUUUUCCCAUUCUUGCAUUUUUGCAGAUGAUCUCUUACAAGAUCAUAGCUAGUUGGUGUAGAAAAUAGAUUUGAAUUGUUGCCCAGUACUGUGUCUACCACCUAGUGCUUUCUCUAGAGUCCAUCUAAGUCCAUGGAGGCCAUGUGAGACAAACAUUUUUAUUUCACACUGUGAAUGGUUUUUUUAAUAGCCUCUGAGAUUGUGCUCCUCUGAUAAAGGAAAUAUCCAUGAUGUAAAUUUUUUAUUAUUCAUAAAAUCACCUGGGAUACUUGUUAAAAAUGCAGAUUCUUGGGCAGCUAGGAACUUUGUCACUGGUCAAGAGCAACAAGUAACAAGUAAGACCUACUUGUCACUUCCUGAGGCAUCAUGCCCAGUGGGUUUACGAGCAAACGAGAAUGAAGCAUCGUUGCCCUGGAUGUCCUUGUGAGGUGGUUGGGAAAUCUUGGCUGAACUGUGGAGAAUAUCUUCGAAAAGUGUUUUAGAGUCUACCAGAUUUUCCAUGUGAGUGCCUGUGCAGCAGAAGAGUGGGUCUUCUCAGUGGUUAAGGUUCACAGUGAUUAAGUGUUUGCCUUCUUCAGAAUGUCUUCUACCCUACGUAGGCCCAGAAGUGAAUCUGAUACACAGUUGACUCAUCAUUUCCUUACCAAGCAUAAUUUUUAGUCACAGAAGUUGCAAUGGAUUCUUUCAAGGCCUUUAAGCCUGGUUUGUUUCCAUGGAAAAGAGCAUAACAGAAGAUUGAGUGUUGAAAUGUCCCUGGCAGCAGGCAUGAAUGUAAGUAUGCAUUUGGAGAAGUAUUAGAGAAUAUGGUAAAAAUCAGUGGUUAUAGUUUGUUAGGAGAAACUCCCUCAUUUUCUAAUUGUACCUAGAGAAUUACUUUAGUCAGUUCAGAUGUAGCAGCAUGUAUAUGCUUUGUCUUGUUCCUGAGGCACAAUUGCUGGAGGUUGGCUACAGUGGGCCACCAAAGGAUUUUUACCCUUGUUGAAGUCACCAUAGCUUACGGUCAACAGUGCUGAAGUUCGUGGUCUCCAAAGGAGAGGAAUUCACUCUGGGACCAAAGACGGGGUCCCAGUCACUCAGAGCUUGGUGCAACAGU